GAUAGCGUGGCCGGCGAUGGUCCUUCCGCCAGGAAGGUGAAAAGGGAAUCCGGUGCAAGUGAACUCUGUUCGAGUGAUCUCAAUCCCGGUGCUGCCCCCGCAACUGUAAGCGACGAGCCCGCGCCUCGGCCACUGGGAUUUCCUGCUUGGAAAUUCUGGGAAGGCGGCGACAAGGGCGAUGACUCGCGAGCCAGGAGACCUGCCAUCAUGAAUGGUGCUUUG
rnacentral:ncRNA from 18 species